UACGUAGGCGGAAGAUUAAGUCAGUGGUGAAAUCCUGCAGCUUAACUGUAGAACUGUCAUUGAUACUGGUUUUCUUGAAUUUAGUUGAGGUAGGCGGAAUGUGUAAUGUAGCGGUGAAAUGCUUAGAUAUUACACAGAACACCGAUUGCGAAGGCAGCUUACUAAACUAUGAUUGACGCUGAGGUAUGAAAGCGUGGGGAGCGAACAGGAUUAGAUACCCUGGUAGUCC
rnacentral:rRNA from 1 species